rfam:Pelobacter carbinolicus DSM 2380, complete genome.
UUCCGAUAAGGGCAAAACUGGAGUAAUCCAGUGACGCAAAGCUGCGGGUGCGUGGGAAACCACGGAUAGCCGGGCUACCGAA